UACGUAGGGGGCAAGCGUUGUCCGGAUUUAUUGGGCGUAAAGAGCGUGUAGGCGGUUCGGUAGGUCCGUUGUGAAAACUCGAGCUCAACCUCGAGACGCCGAUGGAAACCCCGAACCUAGAGUCCGGAAGAGGAGAAUGGAAUUCCUGGUGUAGCGGUGAAAUGCGCAGAUAUCAGGAAGAACACCCGUGGCUAAGGCGGUUCUCUAGUACGGUACUGACGCUGAGACGCGAAAGCGUGGGGAGCGAACAGG
rnacentral:rRNA from 1 species